CAGGGUAUGGCUGAAAUAGCUAAGCAUCUCCCUUACACUGAGAAGACAUCCAUGCAAAUUGGAUUAUCCUGA
rnacentral:tRNA from 1 species